AAUAUAUUGCCAUAUAGAAGCUUACAACAAUUUUGUUUGGAUGGGAAAGUUCAUUUAUGAACUCUCUAUUCGGUUCCAACCAGAAAGUGUAUCUAGUGUACUGACACUAUGACACUAAUGGGGCGAUAGCUCAAGCCAGGGAAUCAAGGUCUCAUCAAGGUCCGAACUCAAAUGAGAGAUUGAACCACAUGAUUGAGAAUCAUGUAUAAUGGUGACGUCGUUAUUCUCAAGGUUGCUUCUAUGGAUAACAUAUAGAUAUCCAUUGUCUAGGCCUACUAUUCAGCCAUUUAUGAAAUGACUACAGAAGAGGUAUCAUCACUGAUGACAAAGCUGAUUGGUUCUAGUGCAAGUGGGAGAUUGUUGGAAAUGUUCCCUAAAACCAAUCAUAUGAUGAUACUUUACGGACAUUUCACAUGUUAAACUAAUCUAGUUUAAUAU
rnacentral:lncRNA from 1 species